GUAGGGGGCGAGCGUUGCUCGGAUUUACUGGGCGUAAAGAGCGCGUAGGCGGCCAGGUAAGUCCGGUGUGAAAUCCCUCGGCUCAACCGAGGACCCGCAUCGGAAACUACUUGGCUUGAGUCCAGGAGAGGAGGGUGGAAUUCCCGGUGUAGCGGUGAAAUGCGUAGAGAUCGGGAGGAACACCUGUGGCGAAGGCGGCCCUCUGGACUGGUACUGACGCUGAGGCGCGAAAGCUGGGGGAGCGAACGGGAUUAGAUACCCCGGGUAGUCCCAGCCGUAAACGAUGGGCACUAGGUGUGGGAGGUAUUGACCCCCUUCCGUGCCCGCAGCUAACGCAUUAAGUGCCCCGCCUGGGGAGUACGGCCGCAAGGUUG
rnacentral:rRNA from 1 species